CCAGGCCCUAUUCUCCUGCCUCAAAAUGACAACAGAUUUUGAAGAGUAACAAAAUAUGAAAGAAGUUAUCAGCACAAUAUUAUUUCAAAGUUGCACCAAGAAAAACACCACGUCACAUACUUGUUUGCAUCCCUGAC
rnacentral:lncRNA from 1 species